GUCCAAGCAGGCUUGGCCCCGCCUCUCCGCCCCUCCCCCUCCCCCAGAGGGCCCGCCGCUAGAAGACACUUCCGGCUCAAGGGAAAACAAAUUCUGCAAGGACCAACUAACUAGUCCAGGUGCGGUAUGAAUAGCUGCUCUUGCUGUCAUGAGGGAAGACUGAGAAAGAGUAAGAGAUGCUACAGGAAUCAAUUUGCAUGCUGAGCCAGAUUGCCUCCAGAGAAGAGAAGUCUGAGCCACCCCCAUUCAAAGUCUUAAUACUCUCUAGCUUUCUGAAUAAGGCAUCAAAGUGAGUGUCAGAAAUAACUCCUGAACCAGCCUGGACCAGACAACGGGAAGCUUGGAACAGGCUCCCUGCCCAAAUCUUGGAUGACUAUGCAAACGGUGUGUAAGAGACAACGACAAUAAAGGUUAGAGUUGGGAGGACAGGCCCACCCUCUGCAUACCUGUGCCACAGGCUCCUCUGCGGUCUUCACAUCUGAU